AGAAAGCACAUUAAUUAUCCCUGGGGCCAUGGGAUAUACAAAAACCCUAUAAACAAACAAGUUAGCACAGAAUGGUUUUAGCACGAUUACUAACCUAUGACUCUAAUACCAAUUGAAGGGAAAAACUC
rnacentral:pre_miRNA from 1 species